CUCGGGCCGGCCCGGCCCACGGGGGCGGAGGGAGCUGCGGCGCUCUAGCCGAGGAGCCGGCGCCGGGGGCGGACGCGGAGCAGGCGUGGCGGAGCGGGGGGUCGGGCUACCUGCUGACGGGGAGCUGCCCUCGCUCCUCGCCCUCCCUGCGACCCCCACGCCGACCUCCAGCCGUUCCCUUGUGGUUCUGUAACGACGGGUUUUAGGAGCGUUUGGUGCUGUGACCCUGCAGAUGCUUUUACCGUCUUCAUUUCUUGGUCAAUGGCCCAGUCUUACUAGAGUGCGCUCUGCCGGUACGCCGCUUCAAAUCCUUUCCAGAAACUGAAUCUCAGGCGAGUUCUUCUUUUGCCAGCUCUAACCUAGAACCACUCAGGGAAAGGGAUUCCAGGAAAUGCAGCCCGUUUGGGAGUGGUGGUGCCAAGCUGACCACACACAAUCCAG
rnacentral:lncRNA from 1 species